AUACGGAGGAUCCGAGCGUUAGUCCGGAUUUACUGGGUUUAAAGGGUGCGUAGGCGGGCGCCUAAGUCAGCGGUGAAAUGCAGCGGCUCAACCGUUGAACUGCCGUUGAAACUGGGCGCCUUGGAUGCGGUCGAGGCCGGCGGAAUGCGUGGUGUAGCGGUGAAAUGCUUAGAUAUCACGCAGAACGCCGAUAGCGAAGGCAGCUCGCCGGGCCGACAUCGACGCUGAGGCACGAAAGCGUGGGGAUC
rnacentral:rRNA from 1 species